UUUUAAUAGGACGAAUACCAAAUAUGUUUUCAUACACAAGAAUGAAGAAUGAGAUCCAACUUAAAAUACCAAAUAAAUUUUUAUUCCGUAUUUUCAAACGGUGAAUGCACGAGCCCCCCUCCACCUGAGCUUCUUCACAGCGGCGUCUUCCUCCACCGCUCACCGUCACUUCGGCCCUGCUCAGCCGGUAAGUCUUGCUCUUAUCUUCUUCAUCUUUACUCUGUUCCUUUCUCGAAUAGAUAACAUUCAAUCAAAUUGGAACUUGAAGUUCUUAUAAAUUGGAUGUUCAUGUAGAUCUGUAGAUGUUUAAUUCACUGUGUUUGUUCCAAUAAAUGAGUUUUGUUACUUCGCAAUGACAGGGAUCUAUCUGUAUUCUGUAUUCAACAUUGAAUUGAAUUGAAUUGAAUUGAAUUCCAUGAAAGUUUCAGCAAUUCAUUGUGCCAGGCACAAGCCCCAUAACUGUGUCACCUCAUUUCAAUUUUCCUCCUCCUCAUCUUCGUUGCCAUGG
rnacentral:lncRNA from 1 species